ensembl:lncRNA
GCAUAUGGAGGUUCCCAGGCUAGGGGUCGAAUCGGACCUGUAGCUGCUGGCUUAUGCCACAGCCACAGCAACACCGGAUCCUUAACCCACUGAGCAAGGCCAGGGAUUGCAUCUGCGACCUCAUGGAUGCUAGUCAGAUGCGUUUCUGCUGAGCCAUGACAGGAAGUCAGAUGGAACAAAUUCUUGAGAACAAUGGCUAUAUUUGAGGCAAAAACAAGGUCUGGGGGUGACGGUCAUGCACUCAAGUCCCACAGAUGCUUGUCGCCUAUGGGAUCACUACCCGGAGCUCCUCUCACAACUACACAGAGUGCGCCACUCAUUCCUAAAAUUCAGCAGCAAAGACAGAAAAUGAAAUCCAAAUUAGCAGGAUUCCUUAAUCAUCUCCUUUUACACCACAAACAUGCAUCCAUAUUCUUGGUCUUUUCAGCAAUUUUGCAAACCCACUGGCAUCGGACGUUCGAGUUUUUGCCAAGUUCCUCGAACUAGACGAGAUUAUGGGUCAGCAAGAAAGCGGUGUCCCUGAGCCUGGAGCCUGAAAGCCCGGGAGCUGUGGAUCUAAUGAAAAAUUUAAUAUCUCCCACUUUCCCUUCUAUUGCCUUUUUGUUUGGUUUUCACGGGAAUCUAUUUCCGUGAGUGUUUGCUGUAGGCAGACGCGGUUUGUGCAUGAGCGCGUGCGUGUGAGUGUGUGUGUGUGUGUGUCCAUGCGUGAUGUGUGCAGGGCCUGUGGGGCUCCAGGAACUGCUGGCUAUGGAGAGAGAGGCAACAUGAAGGCCUGUAAUUCGAUGAUUUUACAGUAUUUCCAGUUCAGAAACUGCGAUCCUGCAGAUGUGAAAUUCGCAAGGAACAGAAGAGUCGAUCUAUGUUUGAGCCUCACGAUUUGAAGGCCAUUUGUGUCCACAAACACACGAUGCCAUCUCUUUCCACCCUUUCAUUUCCACAGCGAAUUUCAGCACACACCCUGCCUGGGCCGCGGGCUUUCGCGAUAAAAUAACAAUGAUCACGACAAGGACUGGACCUUGCAAAUCCGGACGUUCACGGCGGGAAACACUGGACGUGCUCAUGGCUCUGAAAAGGCAGCAACCUGACUUGAGUAAUUUCGUUCUCUUGGCUGUUUGGGGGGAGGAGGCUUUCAGGUGCUGCUUAUGACGUGUCUACAGAUCCCUUUUUACAUAAGUCCUUGCCACGAACAUUUGAAAGAAUCUCAAAGCUGCAGAAUAAAGUGAUCAAACGCCGUCAUUAACCUUUUCUUCAGAAAUCUCAUAAUCCCAUCUGGAGAAGACCUCGAGCCUGAAAACACUUAUUUUAUUUACUACAAUUCUUUCUACUCUAGAACCUUCUCCCAAUAUUCCUUUGACUCUUUGCAAACAUACCUGUUUUCUGUAGUUUACCUAAGUGGCACCCGUGGUUCUGCCAUUAGCCUUUGCCCUCCUGUGGUUGGGGGGGGGGCGCUCAGGGACACCCCCUUAGCCCUGAGCUGCCCUCAGAGCGCCGGGCGGUCACAGGUGUGGGUGCUGCAGAGAGCCCCCUGUGUUCCAGGCAGAGGCGGCCUUGUGGGGAGGGGGCUGCACCAGGAGGGGAUGCUCUGAGCUUCAGGAAGGACACGGCACAAGAGAUGUGGCCCUGGGGAAGGAGGAUGGUGGCCCUUGACGGCUGUUCCCCAGGCCGGGUGGCCCCCCCGGGAUCCCCAUGGAGCAGGGCCAUGGACACGGCCCCCAACUCACAUCCCAGUGGCAGGAGUCCUGGGAUAGAACCUCCUGAGACCUGCCUUCCCUAAGAAUUACGAGAAACAUAGAAAAUGCAUCUGUGGCACAGCUGUCACACCCAAAGCAGAACCCACCCCAGUUUGGGACCCUCGGCAUUUGGGGCCAUAGCAACCCCGUGGCUGCAAAAAGAGUGGCUCGAGAUCCAACUGUCUAGCCCAAGAACCAGUCAGGUGGGUUCUGUUUUUGUUGACGAUGUUUGUGUGAUUGAUUUAAAACGAGGAUCAAAAAUGAACAAGUUUUGAAAACCCUCAAACUGUUUAUUAAGUUGCUACUGUGAGUGAACUCCAGAAAACCACCCAAAUAAAGUGGUAGGCGGGGCCCUCUUCACCCUGGAAGGAAGCGUCACAGAAACCCUGAUGUACGUUGUAAGGAUAAAGCGCGUCUAGGAGGAAGGAGGCAUUUAAUAUACGACAGAACCACAGAGCAAGUGAGGGUGCCGAAACCAGAGGAAGCAGCGACUUGAGCAGUUUCAGGGCAUUUUAAAGCUCCUUCAUCACUGACGGUCAUCUUAGAUCAAUCACACAAGCAGAAGCAAAAUAAUCAGCAGAAACAGAACCUUCCAACGCAGCUGGCAGCAUGGGGUCUUUGCGCUGUGAGCAUCCCCAGCAAUAAAGCCUACCAGGGUACGCCCAGGAGGCUUACAAAAUUAAAAACGUAGUGUGUGAUGCUAUGCGGUUUGGGAAAUGGGAUAUUAUAUUAGAAUAAUUUCCCUUCCGUCGGAUCACAUACUUUAUCAAAGGAGCAGAGAGGCCUCAGCUUGAGACUUUCUGGGUUGUCUUGGCGAGACGUUGGUGGCCGACAGCAGAGCGCGGUCUGCGACAGCGGGGACUGGAAGAGUGAUGGGGCUUUGCCGUUGCCAACGUUCAAAAAUCUAUCACUCUGGAUGCACAAAUUAAAAUUAUUCACUAAGCAGGAAUGCCACCGAACUGUACCUUAUACAACUCCUGGAAUAAGUGAAAAAGUGCCAGGCUGCUCUAUCUGUGCCGUAAGAGACACAUAAUCAUGGUGCCAUCAGCGGUGCCGCAUGCUCCGGGGUACCUACGCUUCUGGAGGCUGCUGUGAACGACCAGCCGCGGGCACAGCCUCUGGCCGACCCGCGGGGCAUGGGUUCCGCCGUCUGGGGGCUGGGAAGCCGAGCAUCCCACACGCCCCGGGCGUUCUCACGCUCAUUCCCACAGCCACCCGCUGCCCAGACUUUUCAAUCGACCUGUCACGUCUGCGUCUGCUGAAUUAUUCCCCCGACUGCAAGGACAGUCCCGAGGGGCUCACACUUGGUCCCCAUUUCGUGGUUGGUCAGCUGUCUGUCUGGGCCUGUGGAGGCCACUGACCUGGCCUACACCGCCCCCCCAACAUCCUUGCGGCUUUCUGCCCGACACUAACACUGUGCCCCGGCUGCGCUCACCCGUCCUCGCCCGCUGGGUGUGGCAAGCCCCUCUGUGCACACUCGAUGCUCUCCGUGCUCACGAUGAGCAAAAGCCUCCCACCUGCCGAGAGCUGGGUAAUAGGCGGAAUGAGGCCAGAACAGCCCAGGAGGACAAAAGCUCCCUUAGGGCCUGGAAGGACCAAGGAUUUCAGACGCCCGCUUCCUGGCUGGUGCUGCUCACGCCGACUCUUCCUUGUGCCACAUGCCACUGCAGGGGGCUGGCCCGCCACGCCCGCAUCUCAUGUCCGCAGCCUAGAUCUCAGCUUCAUGCUGGUCCCCAUCAGGCCGUAGCUCUGAGGACACAUGUGAUGCAGGAAGACGAAGAACCCCAGGCCGCCUCGCCAUGUCACCUGGCGAGCGCUUCUCCAGAGCUUGGCACUGCUGCCGUCUCCUGAGCAGACUCCCCGCCCAGCUCCCCGUUGAGUGAGUGGUGACUACACCGUCCCCUCCUCCACCUCGCGUCACCUUAAGAUGGAGCCAGGAGGCAAGAACCCGCCUCCCCCAACACCACCAUCACAGGCCUGCCCACAUCUGAACACCUGCCCACACCUGCCCAUCUCUCCGUGGACAGCCCGCCUGCCUGCCCGCACCUGCCGUCUGAUUGUUGCUCUAGCAGUCAUGGGACUUUUUUUUUCUUUUAAUGGCUGCACCUGCAGCAUAUGGAAGUUCCUAGGCCAGGGCUUGAAUCUGAGCUGCAGCUGCGACAAAACCAGACCCUUUCAACACGCUGUGCCAGGCCAGGGGUUGAACCCGAGCCUCUGCAGUGACCCACGCCACUGCAGCUGGAUUCUUAACCUACUGCACCACAGUGGGAACUCCAGUAAUAGCACUUUUUAAAUCCCGGUUUUCUUCCUAAAAAUGAGAAUACAAGAAUUCCGAGCCUUAUUCCCAGUGUCAUUCCACAUUCCACCCAGCAGUCUGUAUUUUCCACAGUUUUAAAAAACCAUCACAAGCGUCGUAGGCGAAUGACGCAGCGUCCAUCUAAUACUUUUACGCCUGCGAUUUGAAUUACAGCCAAAUAUCCCGAGGCGCUGUCCCCAGAGAGUUAAUGACUAACGUGCCACCAUCCGCUUUCCGCAGGCGUUUCCUCAUGUCACCAGUGAGCCUCGGCCUGAAGACACAGUGCCCUUCGCGUGCCAUGGGCAUGCCCCCCCCCAAGACACUACGUCAAUCUCUGAUUCUCUGCACAGUUUUUUAAGAACAACAAAACCAGUAGCAAGAGGAGCUCUUCGCUGCGCCAUCCCAUCCGAAGCCGCACCUGAAGGCAGGAAGAAAACGACACUCCAGCCCAAAGACAGCCCGGCUGAGAGAGGAGCUCUCUCGUGCCACCUUUUCUUCCACACAGGCCUUCAACUGAUAAGACGAGGCCCACCACACUGGGCAGGGCCGUCUGCUUUACUCUCUACUCCCCACAACGGUACUCUCCUCAGGAAACACCCUCACACACACACACAGAUGGAAGGAACCAGGUCCCUGGGCAGCCAGGGGCCCAGAGCUGCUGACCCAGAGAACUAACCCCCACACAGUCUGGGGCCCUUCUGAAUUUCAUGCACAGCCCUUGGGGAGGGAGCCUGCGAGGGAAGGAGGAAGGGUGGAAGGAGCUCCCGCACUCUGGGUGCUGAGAGCCGUGAGCGCCUCUGCUGUCUGGGCGGGGAGGCGCUCAGUGAACAGGUGGCGCCGGCCCCUCACCGCCUCCAUCAGCCCCUCCCACCAGCCCCAGGGGUGGUUGGAUGAACCCUGCUCUGUGCUCCCGUUUCUCCCCCCAAGUCUCCUUCAAGCCAUUUCAUUUUAAGUUUGAUUGGCACCUGCUCCAGGGUCGAGGCUACGGCGUCUGUGCUGCUCAGCAACAGUUUCCUGAAGUAGCCACAGCAGCCUUCUCGGACUUGGCACUGGACGUCUUGGCCUCUCCCGGGUAGGGAACUGCUCGGGGUGCAGUGAGAGCCGCCCCCUCGGCCUUUCAGGGGGCUGCCCUGCCCUCCCCGCCGACUGCUGAGCCCCGUGACUGCCACAGACCUGGGAGUGGCGCCCAGUGUGGGCACCCUCCUGGGGCUCUCGCCCUCUCUGCCCACACCUUGUCCCUCCUUCCCGCAUCCACCUCACUGCCCACUUUCGCCUUUGUCCUCCCUCAUUUGUGCAAAGCAAGGACACUGAGCAAGCAGGCUGUGGGUACCCUUGGAGAAGGGAUUCCGGAGGAGCGGCCGAGAUAAACACCACAGCCCUCAGGACCCAAGCCAAUGCCACCUGUGCCAGUGUUGAGGGCCCAGCCUCAACGUCCCAAUGGGCAGUUCACCUGGCCCAGCAGGAGGACAAGGACAGGUCCCCCAGAAAGACAAGGACAGUUCUCCAGGAGGACAGGAGCACAAAGACAGGUCCCCCAGGAGGAGGACAAGGACAGUCCCCCAGGAGGACAAGGAUGGGUGCCCCAGGAGGACAAGGACGAAUCCCCCAGGAAGACGUGGAUGGGUCCAGCCUCCUGGAGUCCCCAGCGCCCUGGCUGAGCCUCCCCCGGUGGCCUCUUUGUCACAUGGACAUCCAACUGUGAAACUGGACGUUGAGGCCUGGGUGUCAGCCAGGGAUGCCCCCACAGGCUUGGGGACAAGUCCUCGGUCCCUUGGGCUCAGUGAGUGGACUCAGGCAUGGUCCUGGGUGCCCCGAGGGCCCCCCCAUGGCCUAAAUGGGGGGGUGGACCAUGUCUGAAGUGGGGGAUGGUCAGAGCCCCUCCCGGGCCCUGAUCCUUGGCAGAUGGAUGUGUCGGGUGCAUAGUGAGGCCCCUGGAGCUGCCGCUCUUCCUGCCCUUGGUUUUCUGGGUUCUUGGUGGGGACCAGGACACCCCACACGGUUCCGGCGGAGUGGCAGGUGAAUUCGGGGAGACGGCUCCUGUGUCUUGCCCACAAUCACCAGGGUGAGGAGCUAUCAGUGUCCCCGCAGCACCAGCAGGCAGGAAGCAGGCUGCCCAGCCUGGGAAAUGGGGGGGGGGGACUGGGCCUGCGUCUGUCCAGGGCCCUUCCACACGGGGCCUAAAGUCGCUAGUUCU